GUUUGAUAGCCACAGAUACGGGGUAAAUGUAUUGAAAAUUUGCUGCACCGGUUAUGGGAAAAACGAACGCGCUCUUUUUUCAGCUCUAGCAGCUGCAGCUUCUCAGUAGAAUCAGGAGAGGGCGCCCACGGACCUGUCUUUGCCUCGCUCCUAGCAAAGCCUCGCGACCGGGUAAGCCCUGGAACAGUGACUUCUUUCUAAUGCAGAAGUGAAUGACAAAUAUACGAAAAAAAGACUUCAAAAGACUGUGGUAUCAAAGUGGCAGUUAAAGAGAAGGCAGCGCUCAGAGGCGCAGCUGCAGAGGGCAGCGGCGGCGGCUACAUCAGCAUCCGAAAAUUCCGGAAGCAUCUCGAGUUGAAGCUUCCCCCCGCGCCACCCCCUGCAGCAUUUCUUCGAACCCUUUUCUUUGAUACACGUCACUGCAUCACACCUCUGGGUUGGACACUUCCUGUGACUGCUGGCCAUUUGGAAUGUCCUGAGGAAGGCGGGAUUCACCAGAUUUCUUCUGUACAUGGGGACAGCUCCUAUGGUGGAAAAUGGCAAUUUACAUGGGAUAAGACUUCUACCUGACCUUACCUGUGUGUCCUCUGCAAGCUUAUCCAGUAAUUGCAAAAAUCAAUGUGUCACACGUCACUUCCCUGGAAAGCAGCGCUGAGGAUCUAUCAGUCACCAGCAACUGCAACAGACGUCAUUCAUGUCACCUGCACCUUUCUCCUUUGUCCUCUCCAGCUCUCUCAGCCUAAAGGAGAGAAGCCUGGGUGAGUGUCUCCUCACUGGGCCCUGCUUAUCUGACAGCAAUCAAUGGAUAUUUAGCAAACAUUCAUAAUGAACACCUGACCCUGUGUUGGGUGUUAGCUCCCAUCUUGCAAGCCUUUGCUGUAGUUUAUUCCCUCUUCCUGGAAGGUUCUCCUCAGCAAUCUUCAUCUGACUAGUUUCAUCUUGUCAUGCAAAAUCUUAACUAAGGUUUUCAACAUCACCACCGCAAAAACAUCUUCUUUCUGGACAUGGGGACACAGCAGAAGGUGAGGAUGGGAUGAGCGGA
rnacentral:lncRNA from 1 species